AUCGUGGCCCUGCACAGAGGAUUUCUGAUCUUCGGGCUGCCCCCGUGUUUCCCGGCCAAAACGGAUAUGAGGACCCUGGCUUUCAGUAUCGGGCAAACACCGUGUUCUCUCACUUACCCAGGAUGCUUUCAUUACAAGGGCUUCCAAGUUCAGGUACAGAACAAUGUAAAAUGCAUAACUUCAGCUGCAGCCGUUAUUCCAGAGUUCUGAAGAGCAGCCAGCAGAAAUUGGUCAAGAAUCUAGCACAGUGUCUGGUGCACAAAAGACGCUUAGAACUGCUUGCAGGACCAGCUGAUUGACUGACUGAAAGAGCGAGCGGAUGGGUGCCUUCCACGGUAGGCAGCUUUGUCUCCUGAGCUGCUGUCCCAGUAUCAUCAGUCUCCCAUUGCCAGGAAAUAAGGAGGUCUUGCUCACCAUAUGAUUUCAUCUACUCUAUUCUGCACCUCUCCAAAUCUCAUUGUCAGCUACCAACCACAGCCUAAUAAAAGAAGAUAAGCAAUGGAAGUUCGAUUUUCUUUGUCUUUUGUUUUCCACCCUAACGAGCCUGUGAAUCUGAAGGGAACAACAUGCCAAGUAGCUCCUGAUGAUUAUUUUCAAGAAAGCCCAUGUGAGGUUUGGGGCAGAAGGAACACAUAUGAGUAGUGCUACCUAUAGCUCCUCCCCAAAACCACUAUUAGAAGACAAGAAAUCAAUAUAAAGUUGGGGAUCUAUAUAGAAGGUCUCAUCUCAGAAUAGAUCCCUGAGUUCAAGCUAAUAAUACUUCGGCAAAGUGAGUUAAUGGCAGUAAGAGUCCAAACUCUGGCUUUAUACAAUGUACAUUCUAAUUCCACUUCCAGUACUUACACUGCUGAUAAAUUACUGAAGCUCUCUGAGACU